rnacentral:sRNA from 1 species
CGCCAUGACAGACCGCGCACACGUUAAUGCCUCGUGGGGCGCCCAACGGGCAGGCCCAGCGCCUCCCGUCGGCGCCCUGCUCCUGCCGUGCCCUCGCGCGAGCGAGCACGCCCGGCGGGUCCAACAAACCCACGGCGCGGAAGGCGCCAAGGAUCACAACGUCGGAGCGUCGCCCCCCCAUCAUGGCCCCGUCCGCGGCAAGCCAUGCGGGGGAUGUGCGUCUCCCAAGAUUGAAUGACAUGUAAAACGACUCUCGGCAACGGAUAUCUCGGCUCUCGCAUCGAUGAAGAACGUAGCAAAAUGCGAUACUUGGUGUGAAUUGCAGAAUCCCGUGAACCAUCGAAUCUUUGAACGCAAGUUGCGCCCGAAGCCAUCCGGCCGAGGGCACGCCUGCCUGGGCGUCACGCAUCACGCCGCCCCACUGCCCCCCUACCUUCUCUGGGACGGGGACACGGUGCGGAGACUGGCCUCCCGUGCGCCCCGGCGUGCGGAUGGCCCAAAUGAGAUCCCCCGGUGAUGCACGACACGACGAUUGGUGAUUGAUUGCUCGACUCACGUGCCGUCGUGCCCCGCAGCAUCGCCGGCCAGGGCAUCCGGAAGGACCCAACGGCGUGCG